rnacentral:misc_RNA from 1 species
GAGAUAGGGGCUCCGGCCCCGUACCUCCAACCCCUGUCUACCCACCUUUGUUGCUUUGGCGGGCCCGUGUCCGGGCUGGUCCCGGCACCUCCGCCCCCGGGGCGUGCCCGUCGAAGGCCCUUUCCAAACUCGUUUACCGGUGCAGUCUGAGCAAAUAACCAAUAAUUAAAACUUUCAACAACGGAUCUCUUGGUUCU